rnacentral:rRNA from 1 species
AUUGAACGCUGGCGGCAGGCCUAACACAUGCAAGUCGAGCGGAUGAAGGGAGCUUGCUCCUGGAUUCAGCGGCGGACGGGUGAGUAAUGCCUAGGAAUCUGCCUGGUAGUGGGGGAUAACGUCCGGAAACGGGCGCUAAUACCGCAUACGUCCUGAGGGAGAAAGUGGGGGAUCUUCGGACCUCACGCUAUCAUAUGAGCCUAGGUCGGAUUAGCUAGUUGGUGGGGUAAAGGCCUACCAAGGCGACGAUCCGUAACUGGUCUGAGAGGAUGAUCAGUCACACUGGAACUGAGACACGGUCCAGACUCCUACGGGAGGCAGCAGUGGGGAAUAUUGGACAAUGGGCGAAAGCAUGAUCCAGCCAUGCCGCGUGUGUGAAGAAGGUCUUCGGAUUGUAAAGCACUUUAAGUUGGGAGGAAGGGCGGUAAGUUAAUACCUUGCUGUUUUGACGUUACCAACAGAAUAAGCACCGGCUAACUUCGUG